rnacentral:ncRNA from 1 species
UUUUGAAAAUGUUAAAAAACGCAUUAUAAAUGCACUGCUAGCUACAACGUAAUCGGAAACGGUAAACGUGAAUGCUUGAAAAUAGCAGUGGGAUAAAGACAAUCAGCAGCCAAGCUCCUUUUAAAGGGGAAGGUUCAACGACCAUCGAAAGCACGCUAAGUUAGCGGAAGUGAGUAGAGUAGGAGUGAAGCCACUCCGAAGUGCGAGGGCAUCUAAUUGGAUGUAAGAUAUGGUCUCAACUUCUAUGGUGACAUAGAG